rnacentral:misc_RNA from 1 species
ACAUCUCAACUCUUAUGGUUUUCCAUGAUGAGAUUGGACUUUGGGGGUCUUGUUGGCUCGUGUUCAGCUCCCCUAAAAUCUAUCAGCUUUCCAGUGUUUGGUGGCAUCACAGGUGUGAUAAAUAUCUACGCUUGUGGUCGUUUACCAGGUCUGCCCUCUCCUUGUGAAGGGCUCGCUGGAGCUCAUAGAUGUCUUCCCUUGUGGAGACAGCUGUUUGAAGU